GUGGGUAAGGAUGCAGGAGAUGUGGGUCUUAAUAGUGUGUUGGGCGGUGCAGUGUUUGUCACUUGUAUUGUUGUUGGGACUGUUUCAUUAUGUGUAGCAGAGAAGGAAGUUCAGAUUGAUCGGAGAUGCUUCAUUAGGGAUAUCUGCUUCUUCCUGUUUACACUAUUGUCUUUGUUGAUGAUGUUGAUGAUUGGCAAGGU
rnacentral:misc_RNA from 1 species